ACGAACGCUGGCGGCAUGCCUAACACAUGCAAGUCGAACGAGACCUUCGGGUCUAGUGGCGCACGGGUGCGUAACGCGUGGGAAUCUGCCCUUAGGUACGGGAUAACCCAGGGAAACUUGGGCUAAUACCGUAUGAUGACGUAAGUCCAAAGAUUUAUCGCCUAAGGAUGAGCCCGCGUAGGAUUAGCUUGUUGGUGAGGUAAAGGCUCACCAAGGCGACGAUCCUUAGCUGGUCUGAGAGGAUGAUCAGCCACACUGGGACUGAGACACGGCCCAGACUCCUACGGGAGGCAGCAGUGGGGAAUAUUGGACAAUGGGCGAAAGCCUGAUCCAGCAAUGCCGCGUGAGUGAUGAAGGCCCUAGGGUUGUAAAGCUCUUUUACCCGGGAAGAUAAUGACUGUACCGGGAGAAUAAGCCCCGGCUAACUCCGU
rnacentral:rRNA from 1 species